UCUGCAGGAUUUACGCGCACGUUGGAACCGAAGAGAGCUCUGUUGUUGCAAUGUUCAGCCCACAAGAGCUUACUGGUGAAGGAAUGGGACAAGACCCAUCUUUAUGCAAAGCCAGCGUUACAGUAAUGUUCCAGGUAUUCCUGAUGACAGUCUGCCUCUAUCUUACAGAGCAGCUUGUUGCUAUAUACCAUUGAAAAGCCUUCAGAGCUGAGAGGUACUACUAACCAAUAACCUGCUUGGCUCAAAGGGCCAGCACCUUCUCUCUAAAGCCCAAGAGGAGUUUGAGGAAAACUAGGUGUCUGUGUUCACUCCAGGCUGAAGUUACAGGUCUGAGCAAAUAAGGUGUAUAAAAAAUGGACAUCAGAAGGUGAAUUUUCCAAGUUCUUGGACAACCUAGCUGUUGAAAAGCUUUCUGGGUUUGGGGGGUAUUUCAGAUGUACCUUAAAGUGUUAGCAGACACAGAUUAAGACACUGGGAGCCAAUGAAACAGCAGUUGAGGGUUUGCUGUGUAUCACAUUUCUGUAUUUUAUCACCCCCUUCCUGCAACAUUAUUUAUCUGGAAUCUACCUGCCCUUUUGUUUUUUAGAUACAAGGGCUUGGUUUUGUUACCCAGGCUGGUUUCAAGGCCAUAGCUUUAAGAGAUCCUCUCACCACAGAUUUCCAAAGUGCUGGGAUUGCAGGUGUGAUUCAUGGCACCCAGACUUUGCUGCCUUUCUUACAUGAUCCAGGCCCA
rnacentral:lncRNA from 10 species